rnacentral:rRNA from 1 species
UACAGAGGUCUCAAGCGUUGUUCGGAUUCAUUGGGCGUAAAGGGUGCGUAGGCGGCGCGGUAAGUCGGGUGUGAAAUCUCGGAGCUUAACUCCGAAACUGCAUUCGAUACUGCCGUGCUUGAGGACUGGAGAGGAGGCUGGAAUUUACGGUGUAGCGGUGAAAUGCGUAGAUAUCGUAAGGAAGACCAGUGGCGAAGGCGGGUCUCUGGACAGUUCCUGACGCUGAGGCACGAAGGUCAGGGGGGCAAACGGG